AAACAAUGUGUAUGCACAGUGUGUUUGCAAACUGCAACAAGAUUUGGUAAGUCUUUCUUUUCCACUGCGAAUCCUCUAGCAUGUUCAAAGAUGUGAAAACACACAUACACAGACAAAAAUAAGAACAAAUGGAGCUUGGCAACAAAGAAGUGAAAUUAAGAAAGAAGAACCGCUGCGCACUCGUUACCGAAGACACAUGAUAUGCACUGUCACAUUAGUGAUGGAGUGUAAACCCCGUGAACAGCGCAAACUUCGUUUUACUCCUUAAGCCACCCAACUUGCAAGAAUACAAACAGAUAAGUGACAUCUUCCACUCAAACUGACAUACUGCGAGCACACAUAGCAAAAGCACCAAAUAUUCACGUUUGCAGUUGUGGAAGGAUGCACAUGCAGAAAUAUUAGUGUCGAUAACAAGUGUGCACCGCUAUAAGGUGCAGAAGCCUAUUUUGCCAUGUGGUUUCAUGCCAUGCAAUAUUUUGUGGUUGGGGGUCAAUCUAUUAGCGCUUCUUUAUUGCAGUUGUUUGCAACUAAACUUGUCAAAAGUAACACGCCGUUCAUGUACCUCACAAUCCAACUUGCCUGUGAAAAAAAAAAAAGGAAGAAUAGGUUACAUCCCUUUCUUACUGCAGGAAUAAGUGAGCUGACUUAAUUGCGUGCAUCAUCUUAGAGGCAAUGUGCACUACCUUGUUCACUCUCUCACUCCAAUUACAAUGUAGAGGCAUAGCAUAAUAUCAAAACAGAAUCAGCACAGCAUUAUGGCGAAGCUGUGCAGAUGACGGGACAUGUGAAAACGGGACAGGACAAGACAUGUCCUGUUGGCAUUGUUUCACCAUAAUGUACAGUCAACCAAAAACAGACUACGGGAGGACCCUCAUGCCACCCAGCAUGCUAAUCCAAAUUUGUCAUACUUGUACUGCUCUGUCACGUCUCUCACAUUCACAUAAUUUCCUCAUUCAUGGGAGCUCUGUCUGAGGUAAGAACGUAAAUUAUUUCAAAAACAAAUAUCCCAAUUCCAGCGAAGGCCUCUUGUGUCACUCUAAACUCAACAGCCUUAUUAGUGUGUUCAUACCCUUCUAUAUAUUUUAAUUUUUUCUUGUUUGCUGCAUACUUUAUACAAAUUAAAUACCAAAACAAUGCAGCAAUCCUGUCUCUCCACACCAAGUAAUUUAUUCAUAAUUAGAGCAGAAAAGUUGCAAAAAUUAUUUUCAUGCUUCCGCACAUGCAGUGCUAUCUCUAAGCUCUUUCAACUGAACAGCUUUCAAUUGAGAUUAAUAAGAGCAACCAGGAAAUUUUGGCCAUGACUUUUCUUUGGCUAGCAUGAACCAGAACGCAUAGUACAGAAAAGAAUGUCAUACACAUGCACUCACAAACACACAUCACUAGAAAAACUACUAUUUAUUAGAAAUGUGAUUCCCAUUAAAAGGCAGAAAAAGAGCACGCUUGGAGGGACUAAGCAGUGAGCCCACAUGACCCAUGCUGAUAGGCACAGAACCUACACUAAGAAUUGGAUAUUGAAUUUCCACUAUCUUGUAAUAAUUUAUUUUUCAAGUGACAUUAUCACCACUUAAAUAUAUUUUUUGAUAAGUUAUAACCAAUAAAACACAGCACCUUCUACUGCCUUUUCCCAAAGGCCUGUGCAUGUAGUGUCGAAUUAGCAUGAAAUUUGGCAAUCUUUUUUAACAGUAACAGAAGAACAGGAACACAGCAUACAAGUUAUUGUAAAGUAAAAAAAAAAUAUGUAGCUGAAGAGAAGUCAUACGGAAAGCAAAGUUACUGCUAUCACUGACACGUGCAAUGAAAUGAAAAAAAAAAGGAAUAUAUCAUGAUACUGUACACUUUCCAUGUGGAAAUCUUUUCUGGAAAAGUUAUACUUUUCAAUGGCUGCAAAACUCUGCUUUAACAGAGAAAUGGAAAUAGCAGAUAACGAGAUAUGCUGAAAACAAAAUGCUAAUAAAAAAAUGCAUGCUUGAACUGGUGUUUCAGAUUCUCUAUGCAAAGGAGGAGCACAAACUGGAGACAGCCAUUGCAGAGCUUCAGUCCUUGCCUCAUAUGCCCUAUGUUCAGAGAGUGAACACGUUUCUUUUGCGCCAAUGUGAGUGGGUGCUCUUGUAUCGUACUGGUGUGCUAACAAGAGGCCAAAACACAACUAUUCGGAGGCUUCUGUCCGUAUUCUAAAGGACAUCAUCCUAAACAGAACAAAAGCCUACAAUGCAGUAGCUUUAAUUGAAUUUGUGAUUAGUAAUUGGGAGAAAUAUUUCGAAACACGGCUGCUGCGCCACGCACACAAUCGGGAACCUACCCACCGAAUUGGCUAUGAGCACCUUCUGCAAGAAAUGCCGGAAUCCCCCCCAAAAUCAAUUCUAAAAGUAGAACAAAAUUGCUACCAUGUUCCGAAUUCUUCUGGAACUGGGACAUAUGAGGUAUGGGCGGACAUUGGGCUAUGCAGCUGCAGGGCAGGGAACCAGGGUGCUUUCUGUAAGCACCAGGCUGCUGUGCAACAAGCCUUUGGUGGUGCUUUCCCGAACAGCCCGGAGCUGACAGUUGGAGACCGCACAGAGCUUGGCCAGCUUGCCCUCGGAAAGCGUUGUCCAGCAGCAGGCUUUUUCAUGCCUUUGACUGCACAUGCCCUCACCUUGGCACCCUCAUCUGUGUGCGAAGCAGGACCAUCGACUUCGCACAAAGACGUAGGGCAGGAGACGCAGACAAUCUCCACAGCGCCAGAGGUGCAAGGAGAGAUGGCUGACUUGGGCCAAAUACAUCUGGACCACAAAAAAGAGUGUGCUGCAUUCAAUGAAGCAUACCAGCGCGCCCAUGGACUUGGUGAAUGCAUUCCUCAGUAUGCUGCUGUUAUCAAGUCCAUAACAGAAGACCUGUUAAAGUUGAACACCAGCAGCGCUGUGUUUGCAUACAUGUUGAGGCAAAAGGCCAUGGGAAGGGCUAUCAGGCAUGGUAAAAAAAUUAAGGUACAACCAACAAGCUUGGCAAGGCGCCGACCUGGCCUACCGAGAGGUUCGGGACGCAUUCCUGCCGGCCGACCAAGAACAGCUGGAAAAAGGAAAACAAAACGUGGACAUGUGCUCAGCCAAAGUGUGCGGGAUGAUGUACCUGGGGCCAAAUGCCAUUAAGAACUCAAACUUUAUGGAGACCUCACAGUUGACCCACUAAAUAUGUCUCAGCAUGCUUAAGGACAGUGAAUACGUUGAACACACAUCAUCUGUCAUCGAAAAUGCCCAUUUUCGGCCUGCACUAGGAUGAUUUUUAAGCAGUAAUUGUAGCUCACAAAGUCUGAUUGCAGUGGUUACUAAUGCUAACGUGCCCCUUUCCUUUUGCAGUUUGUUAUUUUUAUGAAAUUGCAUAGCCAGCUGCUCCUGAACCCUAUAUCAAUUGUCUGUCCCUUCUUGAGGUGGUUUAAAUACUUCAUGCAGCAUCCGCACAUUACCAAGAGUCCACCUCUAGUUCUGUUGCCUUCAUAGUGCCAUUGCUUCAAGCGACUUUUCAAGGAUGAUAUUGCUAUUUGUAUUGAAAUCUAGCACUAAUAUUGUAAGACUGAGACUAACCAAGCUGUCAAGCGCUUUUUAUUCCAAAAAGGAAAUGCCCCAGCUCAUGCGUGAAGAAGUAGAACAGGGAAGAUGAUGAUGGCUAUGUACAAAUUAAAACGACGAAGUAUGUUAAUAGUGCUUACAAUAUCUAGGUUUGCAAGUAAAAAGAUGUUUACUGAACAUGGGCCAUGAAUGCAGAAAGGUCCGUAGCGAUGAGCACUGGUUCAGGUCGAGCACUGUCUCGUGCUCUGCAUUGGCGAUCCUGCUUGCACUUCAGCUGUCCUCCACUCCUUCAUUUUGUGUGUAAAAACCACCAGUGCUGUGGUUAUAGUGAGCUGUAGGGCUAGCUUUUGUUUAUCAGGCAGGGCUUCUUGAUUGGUAGCAGUAAGGUACAGCCCAAAGCAUUGUAUGAAUAGCAUCCGUUCAGCUUGCAAGUUGCCAGCCUUGCGCAUAAGUUGUGCUUCAAACAUUGAUGCCACAUGGUGGCCCUCGGUUGCUCACACCUCAGUAAAUUGUGAUUGGCAGUGUUACACUGGCGCUCUUCGUAAAUUUUGUUACUUUGGUCACAGGAACAUUUCUAGCUCUGUUUGUGUCGUUCUCAACCUAGUGUGAAUAGAGUGUGAAUUUUUUUAAUAUUUAAUUCUGGGUUUUAAAUGCCAAAACCAUGAUUUCAUCAUGAAGCACGCCAUUUUAAUUUUUUUUGUAGCGUUAGUCCUGUGUUGAUUAGAUAUGCGACCAGCACCAAUACACGCCAUGAUGCAACAUCAAGACAUGCCUUGAUGCCACAGAAAUGCAUAAUAGAGGUAGACGGUGCACUGCAUGAAAAAGGUAACCAUGGAAGAGACGUAAGAUGAGCUGAACAAAAUGCUAUCUUCGUUCUGUACCAUAUCCUUUUGGCAUUGUACAGCUCUUUAUUUUCUUUGCCACCUCUCCUCUGUGACUUCACUUUUCACCUUUUGUUCUUUGUUGUACUGUCUGUUACGUUUUUGCCGCGCAAAUGUGCCAAGUUGUUUUGCAACUGCUGUUGACACGUUUAAAGAUUAAAUUGUUUUCAUUGGCA